rnacentral:lncRNA from 1 species
AUGAAAACAGAGGAUACGAAACUAUGAGGUAAAUGCUACAAUGCACCUUCUGAUGAAAGAAAAUACAAACAAAAUGCGAAAUUGUAAGAAUCAUUACUCCAUUGAUAUACUAUAGAUAUUCUUAUAUGAUGUCCAAUUAGCGCUUUGAGUACACACCCGGGCUAACAAAAAACAAGAAUAAUUGUUAGUCCUCUAGCAUCUUCAACAAUAUAGAUAGAUAGGCAAUUAGAGAAAAGUCUGAGAUCGGCGAAAUAUAACGAUUGACAUAAUGCGGGUAAUGGUAAAAUACGAAUAAAGAUGCUGUCAACUAAUAGGUAACCGUCCUAAUUUGUUUUUGCUGUUUUAAUUCACUUUAAAGGCAAAUGCAGUUACAUAUAAUAUUGAAAUCACGAACAAACUAUCGUGUACAUUUAUAGAAAGCACGACUUCUUUAAUAAAAAAUAGAUUUAACACAAAAUGUUUUAAAAAGAAUGAAAUUAAUUUGAACAGCGGUAUACUAUUGUUGCCUUCCAUUAAACAAAAUAAAACGAUUUUUCAAAAAUAUAAAUGUGUGGUCUGCAUACACAAACACUUGUUGAAAAGUGAUCGGCAUGCAACUUUUAGUUCAAUAUCAAAUUGGAACAUAGUAAGAGAUAGAAGGGAAAGUUGUAACAUAGUAAAGUAUGAAAAUCCGUAAGCACAUUCUUACUGAUCGUGUAGGGAUUGUUUUUAAGAUCUAGUUGUGUAAGUCAGAAUCUGUGAAUGUAUAUGAUGUCCUGCAAAAAUCGCGAUCCGAUGGAGACCUUUGAAAUUUGAAUGAUAAACCAGAUCAAGUACACUCCUACAAAACGAUGACCAAUAUAAAGAAUGUACUCUCCCGCAGAAGAAUUUCAAAUAUUUUGUUGAGAUGGAAUAUGAAAGGAUUCCCAGCAAGAAUUGAAAUGAAAGACAUUUGGAUGUAAAUUGUUUAGAGGUAAAUAUCAGUAAAAUAUUAUAUACCAAAAUGGAGUUAUUUUUUUCAGAAAAAAAUAAAAUCACACAAAUACUGAAUUCCAAGGAAAAUUCAAAACGAAAAGUCUCUAAUCAAAUGUCAAAAUCAAAAGCUCUAACAAAUCAAACGAAUGGACAACAACUGUCAUAUUCCUGACUUAGUAAAUGCAUUUCUUAUGUAGAACAUGGCGAUUAAAACAUGGUUUUCAUAGCUAGCUAAGCCUCUCCCUUGUACGAAAGUUUAAAUUUCUAUCAUAUUGAAAAUGAUGUGUGAACAAAAUAAACAGACAUAAUAGGUAAAAAUAUGAAAAUAGAGGUACAGCAGUCGACGUUAAAAAAAAUAGUAGAACGUUAGUUUCAAUACAAGCUGCGUCAAGGAAUAAAAUAAUGACUUGUAUAAGAUUGAAGGCAGAAACAAUCAUUUCCUCCGUUUCAUGGACUGAAAAGUAAAAAAUUGCCAUUGACGCACAUUUUAACUUUCGAAACAAAUAAUGUGAAGUUUUGUAAAUCAAUCGCUACGUUACCAUGGUGGGUAAGGUUGUCCUGCGAGAGAACGUUAUGUGCUGGUGAUUCCGUCCUAACUGGUUGGUUUGUUUACAUUGUAUCAGAACAGCAAUCAAACAACCGUUCUGUUGCUUAUUUUUCUCUAAUACAUCCUAAUAAUCAUGCAAGGAAUAUUACAAUAAUUUUGUAUUGCAAAAGUCGUGCGAAUUAGCCAAACAAAAUUAUCCUGAGGAAGUGCUGGUGAUUAGGUAAAAUGAUCUUGGUUCUGUGCCUUUAUAUUUCAGUUUAAAGUGGCAAAUAGUUAAGAUCAUUGAUGCAGAAAGUUUGUGUAAUUGAUAGAAAACAUAUUUAGCAUAUUAUAUUUGAUUGAUAUUUCAUAUGAGCAAUGGUGGGUCUAUUUUGAUUUAAUUUGAUUUUUGAGAGGGGUGCAAGAUCUUUUUUGUUGAGGUGUUUUAGGCAUGGAAAGGAAAAGAAUGAAGACUAGAUGAUAACAAAGAUAACACACACAAACAUUUUUUUUUCUAAUUUAUGCAUUUUAAAGAUCCAAAAGUAAACGGUCUGUUGUCAAGGAUUUUUUUUAUAAAGAAUUAAGGGAAAGUAAGUGAACGAUGUGUCGUACUUUUCUUUUUUCAAGCCAUUAUUCAUGAAUAAAAAUAAAAUGUGCCUAUUUUUGUAUGAAAAUAAGUGAAAAAAGAGUAAACGUAAAAACCAAACCAGUAAGAAAUACUCUCAUAGUUAAAUAUUUGUAAAUUUAGCUUUUAAUUUGUGUGUUUAAAACAAGCCUUCUAUGUGCAAUGUAACAAAGGUAUUUCAUUCACCCAUUUAUUUCAUUUGUUUAUAAUGUGAAUUCUAAGUAUCAUUAUACUAACAUGUAGCCUUAAUAUAUAUUUUAAAAAUCGAAUCUAAAGCCAGAUAUAUCAAAGAUUAUUGUUUUGUUAUUUUAUAUGUCUUCAGGACAACACAAUCUACUUAUACACGCCUUGAACGUAAAAUGUGUAUUCCACUGUCUCCUUAUGAUAUUAAGAUAAUUGCCCAUUUUCAGCCCCCACAAAACAAAUGUCAUUUCAAAUAAAUACUAUGCAAAGAUCUAGAAAUCGACAAAUAAUAAUGUCAUUAAAAUAGAAUACUCUCUUGUAUUCGAAGAUUUUGCAAAUUUGUUUUGUCUAAACAAAUUAACUCACAGCAUGAAUAUUUUCAUAUUGCUAUAACGUUACGCGCGAUGUUAGUACAUGUAAGCGUACACAAGCGGAAUAUUUCGUAACGUUCAAACCAAAACUUCGACUGAAACGUUAUUUUUUUAAGCAUGUGCGACAUUCGUGUAAGACUCCGCAAAAUCGACGGUGCUUUUUAAUUACUUAUUGAAAAUUGAUGUAUUUUAGAUUUUUGAAAAAUUAAGAAAAAUAACAUUUUAAAAAAUCAUAAAAUUCUACCAUUAUAAGAGCACUGAUAAGCAAACAAUUGACGUAUAUUUGAGUUAAAUUCAUUUUUACGUCAAAAAAUGGCGGUGCGAGAACCUUGUAAGCCUUUGAAAAAUUGCUCAUAAAUAGUUUAUCAGGAUAUUUGUAUUUAAAUUUAUAAAAUUAAGCAAAUUAACAUUGACUGACAAAGUGGACUGCAAGGGGGUAUUUUUGUUUUAUUUUUUCGGUUCUACAUUUUCUAUAAAUGGACACUUUUGUGUUACGCUUACGUAUACUGAAACAGUUUAGAGGGUAAUAUCUUACAGUGUUUGCCUAUGAUCCCACUAGAAACAACAUCAUUAGAUCUCAACUGUUUCCUUCCAUUUUUUAUGCGAGAAAACGUCAAUAAUCAUAAUUUUCGUCUUUGUUUAAUGAUCACCAGCGCCAGUCAGGACCAAAUCACCUGCACAAAACAUUUUCUCGCAGGACAAUCUCAACCGCCAGGAAUACAGGGAUACAUGUAUUUAGUGAAAUGAAUACAUAAUGACAAACACUUUUCAUAAAACAAGCCAGAUUUAACACAUUUGUGUGUAGGAUUUUUGACCUAUGGAUAAUACUUUUCAUUUAUCACAUAAUUAUAAACCUUUGACUCUACCAAAUGAUCAAAUGACCAAAUAUUCUUAUUUUCUAUUGAAUAACACACAUGUACUUAAAAUUGGGGAAGAGAUAUACUAUUUAAUCCUGAAUCUGAGUUUUAUAUAUAUAAAAGUUGUAUUACCAAACAAAAUAGAAAAAAACUAUUUAUUCAUAGGUAUUGUUGAAAAGAAAUCUGCUUUUACGCGAUGAAAAUGUUAUGAAAUUAAAAAAAAUAAAAGGCAAUCAUCUUUUCACAAAGUUGAUACAAUAUAUUAAUUACAAAGACUUGUAUUUUCAUACACCGUAAAACUCAUGUGUGUAUUGAUUAUGUCUUUCGUACACAACCAGUGUUGAUCGCACACUUCCCAAAUCCUUGCCCAUCUCCGACUGACUUGUAGGCGCGCUGCUUCCAUAACACAUAACUCGACCUUUGCAUUUGCAUCUCGCAAAGCCAACCAAUGGAUUGCUGAGAAAGUAAUUUGAUUAACAAAGAACGAUCAAUUUAAAAUUUUAUUCUUUGAGCCAAGUUUAAAUUGAUCAUUUGUCUGAUUAUGUUUUAAAACUUGACACGAAAUAAUUCCAGACCUCAAGUUCUCUGUCUAUUUUAGUUACCUGAUGUUAGAAACUAAGAAACUGAUCAACCAAAUCAUCGAUACUACUUUCAGAAACAGAUCAGUGCUGUCUGUUUGUCAUCUGAAAAUUCAGAUUCUUUUCCUGCUGCCGAGAAACUAGCAUUUCGGUUGGGAUUGGAGAAGUAGCUAGGCCAACUUUUGAUAGCAAUUAAAUAUUACUUAUUAGGGUAAACAACUGAUUCAGAGUGAUAAAGCGAUUUUUCACAAAUUCAAUUCCAGUUGCCCAUUUUGAAGUUUCGUUGUCUCUCAUCCAACUCAGCCCUUUGUACAAAGUUUAAAAUGCAUUUUAUUUUAGAUAAGCUUUAUUUAAAAAAAAACUUUAAAGGACUACUUUGUCGUAUAAAAUGUCGUAUUUGUGACAAUUGGCAAAUUGUUUAUUUGAUUUGGAUAUUCUUUAAAUGAUAUGCUUGUCAAUAAAAAGCAGUGGACACCAUGAGUUUUUUUAGAGGUAACCAUUUAGAUUAUAAUUUUUUAUUGAAGUUUUAUAAGAAAGAGUGUUAAAUUUGCAAUAAUUAGUACAUUAUAUACUCUAAUGAUGAAACUAAAAAUUUUGCAAAAAGAGGAUUGAUAUAAAAGAUAAUUGCUGAACUAGGAAGUUAGACAUUUUUUUAUUUUGUCUAAUAUGCAAUUUUCACUAUAGAAAUGAGCAGCAAUAACAGGCCAAACAAAAUUGUCAACAAUUAAUGCAAACCCAGAUCAUCAAACUCAAACGUGUCCGACGGAUUUAAGCAAGAAGGUGUCCAUUCUUCGCAAGGCCGUCUCCUGACUAAACACUAUUAUCCGUUAAGAUUUCCACCGUACAUUCAUCACUUUAGAUGACCCUUCUUCAAUAAUCUUCCACAUUUUUGCGCCUUUUCAAUUUACACCAUGCCAGUCUUUUAACAUUUUAAGCACGAAAUCUUAUGGAAUUGUUUUACAAUACACUUUGCACUCCUCUCUGUUCUUUUUAUCAAUUUUCGCUGAACAGUACGCUUAGAACGCGGGGGUUUCUCUUAAUUCAUUAAAAACAGCAGUUAUAUCAUGCAUUAGACGUUUCUUAUCUGAUUUGAUAGUAAUUCAAAGUUUGUAAGUGUCCCGAGUUCGCAGAUAUUCCUACCCGUUCUCUCCUUGUUUUCUGAACUCCCUUGACUUUUAAAACGAUGUAAAACCCCAUAAAUAGUUGGAAGCGGAUAUGUUACCGGGCACCACCAGAUACUUUCACACCAGUUUUAAGAUGCUGCAAUGGCAUUUAUCUCCGACAACGAAAUAUCGUGCCGUUUAAGGACAAUUCUCAAAACUAAACAAAAUGAUAACAAAAUAAUCGAUUUCAAACAUCAAAGGUAAAACUCCAACUUAUUAACAGAGAAAUCCGCUUUUGAAGUUCUAACUCGUAAGUGAAGCGACGUCGUUUAAUUAUCUUCAGAUUUUGCACGGCAGUGUUUAUCUAAUUUUUUAAUUAACCGCAAGAGUCAUUGCAGCAAAAAAGAAAGAUAUUCGCUAUAUAUUUUAAUAUAGUGAUAGAACCUCAACGUCCAGUACAGUGAAUAUUACAGAUAAUUAAAUAAUUGCUUACUACGCACUUUUCAGUCUUGUUCAAAAGCUGGUAAAAUAAUCAAAGAAAACUCAUUUGCAAUUGAAUCAGUACUGAUUUUACUUGAGUGUUGAUCAUUUUUGCUAAGCAUUUUACAUCUAGUGAUUACCAGCUGGGGUAAUAUAUCUGCACAACGAGCGCGAUAGAAUAAAUAUGAAUUGAUGGUUCUAAAUACCAUAAAUUUUUUGACAAGCAAAAACAGUACACGCGAAGUGAUUUAGUUAACAAGCAUGUGUUUGUAGUACAUGGAUACCACAUUCCCACUAUCAUUUUCUUUAUUCAGUGGACUGUAAAAGUGGGAUCAGAUCUCUAAUUUGGCAUUAAAAAUAGAAAGAUGAUUUCAUAGGGAACAAGUGUAUUAAGUAACAACUUCAUUAAAAACUACAUUAACCAAAAACAUUAACAUGAAAAGGACAAAUGAACGAACGAACGGACGAACGGACACACAGUCCGAAAAAAAAUAAUGCAUUUAGGUGGUGCAUAAACAAAACCUCCUUUACUGGUAUACGUAUUGAUUAAUUCACUGUGAAACAGUGUGUUCGUUGGUUAUUUAGAGUAUCUUACCUCUGAGUUUCGACCAUGUUGAAUAUUAUCUAUGUAUUAAUACUAAGAGAUUUUCUAGAGACAACCACCUACGAUCAUUACAAUUCACUGUGACAAUUCACAAUUGUGUUUUUACUGAGUCUCCCUGUGUGUACUAUAGACACAAAGAUUAUUUUUGUAUUCAUUAAUAUGGCUUGAAUUCAUAUUUUUUAAAGGUGGAAUGGAAUUCUAAAUUAAAAAUGACGUCAUACAUUGCCAAAACGUAGAAUAAAUUGAUAUAUGUUCAAAUAUAUAAUAAAAAUGAUAGGUCACCUCGCAUUUUCCCAAGCUACAGCUGACAAAAUGACACAUUGUAUGGAUAAUACAGGAAAAAACAUCAUAAUUAAUUAAAAGCUAAAAAAAUGAUUGAAUAGUAAAAUAAAAUUAUGAUAGCUUUUAGAAAAUGAUUUGAGAAUAUAAAAAGAAAAAAUAGGGUCAACGUACGUUUUUUCCAACUAAAAUACAAAAUAGCAAAAUUCCAUGUAGAUUUCUUCAGAAAAUGCACUAUUUCAGAGUUACGUUCUCUAAAAUACCAGUUUUAAAACCUUAAAAAUCAAGCAAAAAAUAAUAUAUACUGUAAAAAUAUUAUAAUUAAAAAGUUGUAAUCUAUUAGUUUGUUCUUUUAAAUGCAAAUUCACGUUAGUUAACUGUAUUCCUGCAUCAAAUUUUGUUAAUUUGAUUGAAAAUCUGGACCUUAGAUUCUAUUUUUUGUACAAUCCAUGGUCAAUAUGGCGAACGACACCCAUACCACCUUAACUGACCAGAGGUUACCCUUCUAUGCCAAUCAUGUUACCACAUACCACAAAAUAUGUUGUUUAUAACUAAUUUUUACAGAUGUAUUUACAAUAAAUAAAUGAAAAGUAUACGUAAAAAUUAUGUUUUUCAGAUUGGUUACAGAAAAAUGAUUACGAGAAAAAUUAGGGCUACAAUUUCUGGCACCCUAAUGGCCCGAAGUUUCAUCCGACACAAUUGUGACAGAUCGGACUUUUAUAACAUCCAACCAAGUAUUAUUAGGUCUAAUCAAUUCCUUAAACAUGCCGAAAGAGACACCACUGUCUAUAAAAAGCUGUUUUGUAAGGUGGCAUAAAAAUUGAUACAUACAUGUGGAGUGUUUAAUAUGAAGGAACCAGUCACAAUGCAGAACAAAGUGUUCAUUGGUAUUCCGUUUAACUUUAAACUUCGGCAUACAGAGGGUUUACACGAACUGAUACUAAAUUCUUACUUUGAAUUAAGCUGAGCAGAAAGUUGAUGAUCCAGGGCUAUGUCAAAGAACGUCUCGUCCUUUUUUCGUAAAAAAAAACAUCUGCAGAUACCAAGACCUUGAUGACAAAUAUUGCAUAUAAACUCAAAAAUAAUACAUGAUGGACUUGAAGGUUGCACUUUGUGAAUACAGCAGUUUCGCAAACCACGCCUUAUUUCAAUAUAUAUAUAUAUAUUUUAUUUGAUUUGUUUACUUUCUGGUUUCAAGAUAUGACCUCUAUUUUUUUAUCAUUUAGAGACAUAACUUGGGACUGUUACAAGUAUGAAAAUAUAUUGUUUUGGUGAAAACUGAAUUCUUAAGUAGGCAAAAAGUGAAGGUAUGGGUAGUUCAGAAUUGUAUUACAAGUUUUAACUCUUAACAUGUUUGGGCUAUAUAAAUGUUGAAAAUAUGCCGCAUAGCCCUAUGUUUUAAUCUUUGAAUAGAAUAGUAGUGCAUAUCAACUUUCAAUUUUAAGAAAUAUUUUUUUAAGAAACUUUAUAUUAAAAGUGGCACAGUUUUAGCCGCAAAAGGAGUUCCUAUAUGGGAAAUUGCAUUAUCUGUAUUUAUAGAAAUGUAAUCUGGAGUAAAUAUUCUAGGUACUGACGUUGUUUUUCAUCUCACAAUUACGUGUUACAGUGUUCUUUUAUUUGUCUUUGUAUAUUAUUAACUUUUAAUGUGUAGUUCAUUUUUGGUAAUAUCAUUUAGACUUGACUCGGUACUCAUGUCUCCCGAUAUUGUAUUUUUGUGCUAUUUGGCUGGCUUUAAAACAAGGUUUAAUCCACAUUUUCUGCAUAACAAAACUCCUGUACAAAGUCGGGAAUAUGAUCGAUGUUUUCCAUUCGUUUGUUGUGUUUGAGCUUUUGGUUUUGCCGUUUGAUAAUGGACUAUCCGUUUUGAAUUUUCUUUGAAGUUCGAUUUUUUUAUAUAUGAAAACACCUUGCGAGUUGUCUAAUAUACUCCAAAGACGGCAAACAUAUCAAGAAUCAAUACAUUCUGUUGAAUAGAAGCGGUAAAAUUAUAAUUUUGUAUAAAUUUUUAUUGAGAUUUCUGCCGAGUUAUCUCCCUUUCAAUGGAUAUCUCCGAAGGAAUUUUAAAUCAUGAUUUUUUAGUCUUCCUCAAGUAAGAAUUUAUGGGACUUUUUUCUGUGUAUAUUUUGUGUAUAAUGAUAAAUUUUAAAACUUUAAAAUCUUAUGUUUAAGGUAAGGAUCGAAUUUACGCUAGAUUGACCGGACUACCAUCACUAUAUAAAAACCUAGUAGCCAUAGAUUAAAACAGAAAAAGGGAUUGAUAAUUUAUUAGGUAUUUUGAUAACAGGACACUGUACUGUAAAGAACUAAACCUUAAAUCACAAUCUCUGCAAUUUUCCUGCAACAUUAAGACUUUUGAUUUUUCUACGCUUUACACUACUAUUUCCAAUGCUCAAUUAAAAGAUCGACUUCACCAUCUUAUUAAACAGAACUUUUUCUGGAAUCUUAGAUACAAAUUUCUUAUUUUGGGUUAUAAUAACUCCUAUUUUGUGAAGAACCACACUGAUUCUACCAAAAAAUAUACUGAAGAUGAUAAUAAGUGCUGGAUUUUUUUUUAUCGACAAUCUAUUUGUUGAGUUUGGAGGAUAAAUUUUUAAACAGACAGUCUCUAUUCCAAUGAGUACUUAUUGUGCACGCCUUCUUGGUGAUUUUUUACUCGUAUGAAGCAGAAUUCAUUUAGAACCUUCUUAACGACAAAUAGAAAAAGCCCCUUGUGAAAUUCUUUAAUUGUUCUUUCAGAUAUAUUGAUGAUGUCCUAUUACUGAAUAACUCAUAUUUCAGUACUUACAUCUUAUGUAUCCCAGUGAACUUGAAAUUAAGAAAACUGCUGAAACUAGAAGGACUGCUUCAUAUCUUAUCUCUUCCUAAAAAUUGGCAUAGAUGGACGACUUCACACUACAAUCUAUGACAAACGAACGAUUUCAACUUUCCAAUUAUCAAUUUCCCAUUUCUCAGCAUUAAGUUAAUCAUUCCCUCUGCCCCAUCGCAUAGUGUUAACAUAUCUCAGUUAAUACGUUAUGCUCGUGCAUGUUCACACUAUACGGACUUUAUAUAUGCUCCUUAAGCAAGAAACUGCUCAAACAAAGUUAUGAGGAGACAAGAAUAUAAAUGAAACAUUUUAUGGACACCAUCAUGAUUUGGUUGAUCAAUACGAUGUGUUUGGGUGUUAUCGUUUUAUAGUUGUAAUAUCUUUUUUUUUUAUUAUUUUCUAUCCAUAUUUUUAAUUUGAGAUAAUCAAUCACCCAAUUCGUUUGCAUGAUUUUAGUUUAAAGCAACUUUGUGCACAUUAUUUAUUUGUUUUUUACACAUUUUGAUUUGGAAGAAAGCACAAUUCCUAACACAAUUUUAUAUUAAUAUUCUUGUAAUUGUUAUGAAAUACAUCAAAUAACAUAAUUUAAAAACCUAAUCUUGGUUUAUAUCCAAUUUUUAAAAAAUUAAAACCUGUGACGUUACUUUUGUGGCGUUGAUUCUUUUUUGUGACAGACACAUAAUUCGUAAUUCUAUUAAGUUGUACCUCAAUUACCUGUUUUAGUGUAAUGUUCUCAAUUUAUUUUAGGUAUUCGUUGUUAUUCUGUGUGUAAAAUGUCAAAAUGUACUAUUAUAUUAUUCAUUUAUGUAUUUAUCUGUCUUGGGUAUUCUUGCAGUGAUUUGUACUGUAUUCCCGUCAUGUAAUGUUGUCGUUUUAAGGGUAUAUUAAACAUUGCCAUAAAGCGCGAGGUUUGGAUAGCCACAAAACCAGGUUUAACCCUCCAUUUUUUUCUUAAAAUGUCCUGUACCAAGUCAGGAAUAUGGCGGUUGUUCUCGAAUAGUUCAUUUCUAUGGAUGUUGCAAUGUCGUUUGAUUUGUGUUGCUAUUCAGUGUUCUGUUGUUUCGUUGUUUUUCUCUUAUGGUUGAUGUGUUUCCAUCGGUUUUAGUUUGUAACCCGAAUCUAUUUUCUCUCAUUUGAUAUAUUACUCAUAAACAGUGGUAUACUACUGUUGCCUUAUUUAGAAAGCUUAAAAAAUAAGAAAACGUAUAAUUAGAAAUGGCAAAAUAGUUUUAGCUUGCAAAUUGAAACUAUUCCUUUCUUUUCAAAUAUUCAUGUACUCAAUCCUAGCUAUGUAUGUUUCUCUUUAGAUCAUUCUCAUUAUGUUGAACCCAAAAUAUCAAAGGAGCAAAUGUAAAAUUCAGCACUUAAUAUCUAGGAGAAUGCUUCAAUUAUUUUUAUUAAUUUCACAUUUAAAACAUAAUUUUCGUUAAUGAUGCAAUUGAUGAUAAGUGAGAAAUUUCUCUUAACGUAUCAGAUAAAAUGAAAAGAAACACAAUUAGACGCUGCACUAAGUACUGGUCAAAAAUCCGUAAACAAAAGUUGGAACUAAAAUUUUAAGAGUACUAGAUCUAGUAAUAUAUCAAAUCAUACGAAAAUUAACAUAACACAAGAUAUUGAAAUGUUUUGUAAUGGAUUGUAUCGCAAUUCAGACAAACCAAGGUUUAAGAAAAUUUACCAUAUUAAAAACUUAUAAAGAGCCUCCAGUAAGAAUUUGCUGAAGGAAAUACCAACUUAUAUUCGAAAAUGUUAUUUAUUUCAUAAAAUACAUAAAGGAGCACCCGCGAUCAACGCCAGUUUUUCGUUGGGUUCAUGCAACUCAGUAUUUAUGUUGUUUAUGUCGUGGUUUGUGUUUUGUUUUUGUCUCUUGGUCUAUUUCUUUUUGCGCCAUGGCGUUGUCAUUUUAUUUUCGAUUUAUGAGUUGAAAUGUCCAUUUGGUAUCUUUGGCCUUUCGUUUAAAGCAGGGAUACACCGAGACCUUUGUUGGAAAAGGCAAGUUUUAGAAAGGAUCUUUUCUCCUCUUAAUCUUUUCGAAUGGUAACCGGUCUGCAAAUAUCUUUGCUGGAAAUACUCGGGAUGAUAACUGUAAGUUUGUAUUGGUUUGAUUCGGUUUUGGAUUCCAAACAUACGCUGUACAGAGGAUGCCAUUUUUCAAAAGGUUGUGUAAAUAAAGCUUCAAGUAAAUGUAGUUGACUGUACGUAUCGAUUACUAUUUGUGCAAUGUUAAAAGAAACUGAAAAAUUGACCGAAAGUAAAUUUAAAAUUAUUCUAUAUUUUAUUUUUGCAGGUUGACAGAAUUUUAAAACUAUUUGCAAUAACAUACUAUUAUAUGUAGUACGAAAGAAAACAACUUUGAAUUCAUGGACAAUACAUUCCUGACAUACAAAGUCGGCUUUUUGUACAGCGUUAUAUUUUAUAUAAUAGCCAGUGAAACAAUAUACAUGAUAUAUGUUAUAUAAAUUAUAUUAAACGGUUUAUGUUUUGCCAUAUUUCUAUCUUUUACAGAAUAUAAAUGAU